GAGUUUGAUCUUGGCUCAGAUUGAACGCUGGCGGCAGGCCUAACACAUGCAAGUCGAGCGGAUGAAGGGAGCUUGCUCCUGGAUUCAGCGGCGGACGGGUGAGUAAUGCCUAGGAAUCUGCCUGGUAGUGGGGGAUAACGUCCGGAAACGGGCGCUAAUACCGCAUACGUCCUGAGGGAGAAAGUGGGGGAUCUUCGGACCUCACGCUAUCAGACGAGCCUAGGUCGGAUUAGCUAGUUGUGGGGUAAAGGCCUACCAAGGCGACGAUCCGUAACUGGUCUGAGAGGAUGAUCAGUCACACUGGAACUGAGACACGGGUCCAGACUCCUACGGGAGGGCAGCAGUGGGGGAAUAUUGGACAAUGGGCGAAAGCCUGAUCCAGCCAUGCCGCGUGUGUGAGAAGGUCUUCGGAUUGUAAAGCAC
rnacentral:rRNA from 1 species